rnacentral:pre_miRNA from 1 species
CAACUACUCCCUCUAUCCCAAAUUUCUUGUCUUAGAUUUGUCUAGAUAUGGAUGUAUCUAAUACUAAAAUGUGACUUGAUACAUCCGUAUCUAGACAAAUCUAAGACAAGAAUUUUGGGACGGAGCGAGUACUUU